rnacentral:lncRNA from 1 species
CUGGAAAUGGAGAAUAUGAAAUGAUACAAUAACCCGACUAAAAUCUCACAGCCGGACGCAGACUUCAGCUGACCCGUAAACAAUAAUAAUGUAUAUUACUUCAGCGAAAUUUGCGCCAAAAAACAUCGAAAAUAUUAAAUGCGCAAACAAUUAAAAUAAAAUCAAGACAAACACAGGCUAGAUGUUCCUGAUUUGGUACAUGCGCAAACAUAAGACGCGGGAUUAAACAUGAUUUACGAGAUCUCAACCCUCCCCAGUCCUAUAAACC